UUGAACGCUGGCGGCAUGCCUUACACAUGCAAGUCGAACGGUAACGGGUUAAGCCGACGCGUGGCGAACGGGUGAGUAAUAUAUCGGAACGUGCCCAAUCGUGGGGGAUAACGCAGCGCAAGUUGUGCUAAUACCGCAUAAGAUCUACGGAUGAAAGCGGGGGAUCGCAAGCCCUCGCGCGAGUGGAGCGGCCGCUAUCAGAUUAGCUAGUUGGUGGGGUAAAGGCCCACCAAGGCGACGAUCUGUAGCUGGUCUGAGAGGACGACCAGCCACACUGGGACUGAGACACGGCCCAGACGCCUACGGGAGGCAGCAGUGGGGAAUUUUGGACAAUGGGCGCAAGCCUGAUCCAGCAAUGCCGCGUGCAGGAUGAAGGCCUGCGGGUUGUAAACUGCGUUGGUACGGAGCGAAAAGGGCUGCCCUAAUACGGUGGGCUCAUGACGGUACCGUAAGAAUAAGCACCGGCUAACUACGU
rnacentral:rRNA from 1 species